AACCAAAUGAUGGCUCUUACAGAUUUUUAAAACCUUUAUCCAACAACGAGUUGUCUCGUUCACAAAGUACGGCGAGUCCUAUGGCCACCGGAUUUGUCGCCGCCGCCGCCGCCGCUUCUAUUUCUCCGUCGCACUUAUCGCUACACAUUUGGUCUUCCUCGCGACUACCUUUCUCUUCGCAGCUUCUAAAUAAUAUAUUGCCUCACGACCCUGCUUUCAAGUCAUUCCCUCCACGGAGGCUUGGACUGGUGGCUGCUGCCAAGUCCGAUGACGGCGAUACUGAAGAUUCUUCAGCUCCACUCCCUUCAUGGGCUCAGCCCGGCACAGAUGAGCUUCCACCAUGGGCUCGCCAAGAAUCCCAGAGUGCCUCUUCGUCACAGGCAGUUCCCUUCUAUGUCUACUUGCUUGCUUCCACUGUAACUGCCAUUGCUGCGGUUGGUUCGAUCUUUGAGUACGUGAAUCAAAAACCUGUUUUUGGUGUUUUGAAUUCGGACAGCGUGUUCUAUGCUCCAUUGCUUGGAUUCUUUGUGGUCACUGGCUUUCCCUCUUCGGAGAUGAGAUUUUUGGUGUCGUUUGUACCAUGAAGAGCAUGCUCCCUAGAUAACACCAUGGCUGCUUGCACCAGCAUACCAACCAACCCACGGUUCUUCAAGGCUAAUAUCUGUUUUGGCACUGACCGGAGAUGAGAGCUUGACCUCUGUAAGAACAAGAUUCAAUGGAAGUGGAAGUAGAAGAUGAAGAAUGGAUCCGCUAUUUGAGAUUCAAAGCCAUGAAAUUACUUUUUACGGAAAGAGUACAAAGACUCAAUCCAAGCCUAUACACAGAUCAUCUCUUCAGCCAAGAAAUCAUUUUCAGUAACAAUUCAGAAGUAGCCAGAGUCACCAAGCUGUAGAAGACCCUCUGUCUGUCCAUUUCAGAUUGGGCCGAGGCCCAACCAUGGCUGCAGGAGUUCACUGAAGCAUUGAGGGAUUAUGAAGAGGCACUGAGGAUGGAGAAGGCCCAGUUCAAGGCUCUCCUUUGUAAAGGCAUUCCUUUGGUUCAAAUCUGUUCAAGCUGCAAAUAAAGACGCUGAGGAGCAAGACCGGAGGGAUGGAUAUCUUUAGAGACCUGUCUCGUAUCCAAUAAUGGAUUAUGGAUUAGUCGUCGUGUUCUUAUACACUCGGGUCUUUCUAAAGAUGUAUAAAGCUAGAUAAGUUCUCUAACAUCAUUUUUGUCGUGUACACAGUGUUAUGUACUCAUGUAUUUAAUAGUAGCUUGCUAUCUAUGUUCUCCAGUGCCAUUUGAUCUCACUGGUCUUUGAAAUAACAUUGGCUGAUUUGGUCAUUUGAAAUAGGUACGACUAAUGUAAAUGUACACUACAAGAUAACAUAUAUAUACUCUCCAAAAAUCAAUUUUCC